UUUUUUUCUUUUUGUUUUCAGAAAUAGCUAAAUACCAUAUACAAAGCCUGUGUAUGUGUGUAGGGGGCGAGGCAAAGGUUGGCUUUGAGAGUUAAAAAUAAAAGCGGAUAAUAUAUCAUGAAAUGGAAAGGAGAAAGGAGCUGGGGUGUCACAGCUGUCUAGAUCAUGGCCUACCCUGGGGUAAAGACUGUCCAGGAGGGUUGUUCCCAUGAAUCUUUGAGAGGCCCCCUCCGAUCCCUGAGGUCUCUCAGCCUGACCUCAGGGAGAGAGCUAAGAGGGAAGUAAGCAUGUGAGGCCUCGGGACUGCCAGGAUCCAGCCACAAACGUGGUGAGGAUCUCCCAGGGGCGAACCCUGGCAAGCCAGGAGAAUGGGUGGAAACAGGUGGUGAGACUUCUGGGGCCAGAUGUGUAGGGCAAAGUGAAUAUUUAUCAGUCGGCAGCUCAGCAAGAGAGAGAGGGCACACCCACUUGGGGUCAAUGAGAAGUCUAAUAACACAAAUGAACUUAACUAGGAAACAGAAACGGAUUCACAGACACAGAGCAGAGACUCGUGGUUGCCAAGGGGGAGGAGGAUGGGGGAGGGUUGGAUUGGGAAUUUGGGACUAGCCGAUGCGAACUGUAAUAUAUAGAAUGGAUAAGCAACAAGGUCCUACUGUAUAGUUCAGGAAACUAUAUUUGAUAUCCUGCAAUAAACCGUAAUGGAAAAACAUUUUAAAAAAGAAGAAGAAGAGACAGAUUUCAACCUUCUAGGGAAGGUGACAAAGAAUGGUGCAGAACUCUGAAGCAGUCCUAGUGGGGAGCCUUUAUCACCUGCAGGGACCAGGACUUAGGAGAGAAGUUAGCAGAGAGGGCCUGAUGGGAGCUAGGGAGCUGUGGUUUUUGGCAGAUCCCACCGCCCUCAAUUUCCCUGCCUUGGGGUUGGCCAGAUCCAACUGAGGCCAGAGGGCAAAGGAGCCCGGUGAACGCAGAUCAACAUGGAUUAGUCUACAGGGGCACAGAGUGGCAUAGAGAAGGGGGUGGGUCUGGAGAAAUGAAUGGAAGAUCUCAGCACAGAGCACAUUUCUAGACUAAUCCAUCUGGCUUUGCAUCUUCCUCCAAUAGAGAAGCUCCACCUCCCACAUAUAAGAACAGAGAAAAGCGAGUGUGGGAGCUGGGACUCAGGGAUGGGGCCUGAUGUGGUCAACAUUUAUUUCUUUUGCAAAAGAAUACCAUAGGGGAGGAAAAAUAAUUAUCCUCUCAUUCUUCUGAGUCUGUUACGAGAUCCCUGUCAUAAAAGAUAGAUUAACACGAGAAAGACAAAUAAAAGUUUAUGAACAUGUAUACCUCAUUUAUGCACAUAAGAAGCUCAAAGAAAAUUGGUUAACUCCCUGAGGUGGCUUAGAAUUUAAGCUUAAAUACCAUUUUAACAGGGAAAGGGGAAUGGAGGGGAGGCCUCUUAGCGGGGAGUAAAUGAUUUUUAGGUAAGAUGAAUGAGUCCUUCAAGGAAUAUGUGGGAGGUGUGAUGGUUUGUGACAAAGUCUUCCUGGGUGUGGUGUCCACUUCUAGACUCCUCUCCUGGGAUAAGAGUCGAUCUUUCUUGGUCAAUAAAAAUCCUGCGGAGAAGACUUAUGAUAACUGAGUUCUUUUCAGAGGAUCUGUUUUUAGGCAGAUAAGGGGAGUUCAGAGAAAGCUGCUCCUUGCAUCUGCUGUUUUUCAAGUGCCCACAGCUCAAAAUAAUCAAUAUACCAAAGCAGCUUAUUUGGGGGCAGAAUGUCCUGAAGUCCUACAGUCAUAUUUUGGGGCCACGGAUACUGAUGCCUUCAAUAUUUUUUUUUAAAUCUUAGAAAAAAUAAUGUUUAUUGCCUCUUAUUAAAACAGAAGUACUUGUGGCACAGUGAAUUAAAGAUCUGGUAUUGUCACUGCAGCAGCUCAGAUCACUGCUGUGGCUCAGGUUGGAUCCCUGGUCUGGGAACUUCCUCAUGCUGUGGGCAUGCCCCCACCCCUCCCCAAAAAAGAAAUACAUGUUUAUUGAAGAAAAAUCUAUAAAAUGCUGAAAAAUAUAAAGAAGGAAACAAACCAUAAUGGUAAGCCUGUCACCUAGAGAUAAAACGAUUUGCAUUUUGGUGUACAUCUUUCCAGUGGGUUUUUUUUUUCCUGUAUGUACAUGUUUGUGCGUGCACGUGCAAAGUGCAUGGACAUGUGUAUGUGUAUUAUAUCUGCAGAUUAAUUAAAAAACAAAUUACUGGAGUUCCCAUUGUGGCUCAGUGGUUAAUGAAUCCAACUAGAACCAUAAGGUUGUGGCUUCGAUCCCUGGCUUCGCUCAGUGGGUUAAGGGUCCAGUUUUGCUGUGAGCUGUGGUGUAGGUCACAGAUACAGCUCAGAUCCUGCGUUGCUGUGGCUCUGGCAUAGGCCGGUGACUACAGCUACAAUUAGACCCCUAGCCUGGGAAUUUCCAUAUGCUGUGGGUGUGGCCCCAGAAAAGACAAAAAGACAAAAAAAAUUACAAUAUCCAUUAUACCAUGUAACUUCUGCCUAUAGGCAUACAUAAAAAGUCUGUACUACUUUAAUUCAUAGCUUUAAGGAAACGAAGUAACAAAUCCCAACAGUCGCUUUAACUGUGGAUGGAGAUGAGAGGAUGAAUCAGACUGAAGAGCUGAUGGGAGCAGCAUAGCAUAGGGGCCCACAGUAACAGUCUAUAGGAGCAGAGAAAUAGAUUUUGAUUAUAUGUUCAUAGAUAACUUAGCAGUUACUGCAUAAUCCGUUUUUGUAAGUAUCCAUUUCUUUUAUAAUAAUUCCAUAAUUUUUUUUCUUGCUUUUUGAAGCCACAUCCAUGGCAUAUGGAAGUUCUCAGGCUAGGGGUCAAGCUGCCAGCCUACACCACAGCCACAGCCACAGCCACUAGGGAUCCAAGCUGCGUCUGUGACUUACACCACAGCUCACAGCAAUGCUGGUUCCUUAAUCCACUGAGCAAGGCCAGGGAUUGAACCCUGGAUACUAAUUGGAUUCCAUAACCAUUGAGUCACGAAGGGAACUCCCAAUAAUUCUGUAUUUUUAUUUAUUUAUUUAUUUAUUUAUUGUCUUUUUGCUAAUUCUGUAUUUUUAAAGUUAAGACCUAUCAUAUGUACAGUGUGUGUCCUGCUCUUUUCCCUUGCCACGAUAUUGUGACUAUGGUCCCAUGUCAUGAACUAGUGUAUGGAAUGUACUGUUUCCCUGUCCACAAUCCCUGGAAGGGACAGCCCUGAUUAUCACAUGACCCUGCUCACUUCUCCACACUUUAGUCGUAACAGAGGUAGGCAUCUAUUACAAGAUGGAAAAACCAUACAGCCAGCAACAGCAAAUAAUGAAUCUUGCUCAAGAAUUUAGUUAGACGGACACAGGCUGUGAUAAAUCGUGUGUGUGUGUGUGUGUGUGUGUGUGUGUGAUUACCUCCUUAGGGCACAUUCCUAGAAGGUCAAUUACCUUGUCAAAAGGAUCGGCAACAUUAGCCAUCUUGAUAGAUGUUGCCACGUCACUCUCCAGGGAAGCUGUGUGCACAGCUUCAUGCGCUGUAAAAUGCCUGCUGCUGGCUCCUUUCUAUCUGCAUUAGGAUGGAAAUGAUCAUUUAUUUGAGAGGUCUUCCUCUAACAGGGUUGUCAUAAAAAAGGGUGGUGGAGUUCCCGUUGUGGCUCAGCAGAAACGAAUCUGACUAGUAUCCACGAGGACGCAGGUUCGAUCCCUCCCUCAGUGGGUUAAGGAUCCAGCAUUGCUGGGAGCUGUGGUAUUGGUCACAGACAUGGCUCAGAUCUAGUGUUGCUGUGGCUGUGGUGUAGGCUGAAGGGAACAGGAAGUAAUACUAGGCAAAAAAGUGUGUGUUGGUUAUUGCGAAGUUGCUCUCCUUUAGAGGCUGGCAGGGUAUAUCAGGCAGAUUGCUUAACUAGUGUUGAUCAGGUAAUUCCUGACUGACCAGGUUUAAGAUUCCUUUUCUGAGAGAGCCAAAACUGGAAUUAAGUUAAAUUUUGGUUUAGUGACAUGGGACUUAGCAUAAGUGACUCCAUUUUGGACUGGUCUUGUUUUUAACACUAUGCAAUAGUGGAUAUAGAAUUUAUCCAUAUUUUACAUGUAGGAAAACUGAGGUUUUAAGAAAUUAAAUUUUUCAUAUCUGGUACAAUGGUGGAACUUCCCUUCAAAGCUGGGUGUCUGACCGUAGAAUCUGAAAGUUUGAUUGUGGGCUCUGAAGAGUGGUCAGUAGAUACUUCUCUGCAAUGCUCUUUAGGCUCUGCUGUUUUCUCUGAUCACUGUAUCGUGAUGAACCUGCUGCUGAUGUAGAAGAGGAAGAAACAUGGAAAAUGCCUAGGAGAGGCCCUGUCCUAAGGCAGGUAUUCAAUAAAUGUCAGCUAAUAGCAAUAUAAAAAUACAAUAUAAUAAUUAAUAAUGAAAUAUCCAAAUGACUUAUUUUGUCCCACAUCUGAUAAACUGUAAUAGUUAACUUAUCCUUAGGUCAAAUUCUCACUGCCUAUUUCACACACAAACACACACACACACUCACACACACACACACACUCAAACAAUGCAUAUAUAUGCAUGUCUGCAUCUUCAAGGGCUUUAUCUUGUGAGAAAGCUUUUUCCAUUUCCCCCUCCCAAACCAUACAGUGGUGCUGUUUUUGCCUUUUCUUUCAGGGUAUCUGUUCCUUUUGAUUUCUAUUGUGGCUCUAAUUUCUUCCAGCUGUUGCUGCAACUGCUCCGUCCCUCCUCCCUCCACCACAUCCCUGAUCCAUCUCAUUUCUAAUUUCUCUGUAAAACCCAAAUGGCUUUCUGUACCAGGAAAAAGAAGGCUUUGCUGCAUGAGGAGGUGUGACAUACCCAUUGCAGUCAAUAGGGCCAUACAAUGACACCAUGACGUUUUUGACAUUUAGAUGCCUUUUAUGAGCCAUCUAGCUUUGUGAACUGCAUUUUCUGUAAUCAAAGAUUCUUAAAGGUGGAAUAGUUUAUAAAUCAUUUAGGUCAACUCGUGAAUAUUGUUAGAAUCUCUUCCAGUACAUCCCUGACAGAUGGGUGCUCAGGUUCACUUGGAAACUUUCAGUGCCUAAGGGCUAACUAUCUCCCAAGGUAACCUAUUCCUCUGUGAGAAACCUGAUUGUUGGAAAGUUCUUCCUUAUGCCAAACCGAGUCUGUGACUCUGUUACUAACAUCUAUCCAGGAGUGUCAGGAUUCAGGUAAAAGAAGUCCACUCCUUCCCUAGGACCUCCAGUCACAUCUUCGCAGUGAAUACGUAUGGCUGCCUAAUCUCUCUCUUUCACCUUUUGGCGUGAAUGUUGGUAUCCAGUCCCCAAUGCAGUCCAGAUGGCUGUCUUUGGAAGGCAUGCAUUGUAUUGUUAUGAUCUUUUAAAUCACCUGGAGCAGCAAUGGACAGAAAGCACCUCAUGUGGUCUGGCCAGCACCAAAUAGGGUGGAUUUGGACCAUUAGUGUGGCCAUUCAGGUUGGGAAUAAAAGUAAGGCAAAACCUAGGUAGAUAUUUGUGUAUCUUAUAACUAAUUAAUUGCAAGAGUUGUGUGAUCCUGGGACAAUCUCAAAUACACAAAAAACACUAGCAUAUUCUAUCAAGUACAAGAGCUUCUAGAGUUGGAAGAAAAAACACACUUCCUUAAGAAUCAAAAAAUGCAAAAUUGAGCCAAAUGGUCAAUUUGGGUAGAAAUUGUAGACAUCUGUAAGAAGGAUGCAAAUUAGAUAAUAUGUAAAACUUGAGUCCAAGGAAAUGGGUUACUUGUCCUCUCUUCUCUCUCUUCUUCUACCUCAUAAAGACUUUGAAGUUAUGGAGUCAUUUCCAUAAAAACUAAUUGGGUUCAAAGCAUUCCAUCAAGCUAUCCCAAGAGGAAAGUGCAGACAUCCCCCACUGAAAUCUCUGAUCAUUUUGUAAUCUUAUGCAGAGAAGGCCAUUGCCCAUAGCACAGGAGAAGGUAAUCCUCAAAAUUGUGUAAUAAAAUAGUUAACUUAAGGGUUAAAAUUAUUCCAUCCUUGGAAAGAUUUAGAAUUGCAUAACACGUUUUAAGAAAAUCAAACCAAUUAUAUAUAUAUAUUUGUGUGUGUGUGCUUUUUAGGGCCAAACCUGUGGCAUAUGGAAGUUCCCAGCCUAGGGGUCGAAUUGGAGCUGUAGCUGCUGGCCUAUGCCACAGCCGCAACCAUGCCAGACCUGAGCCAAGUCUGCAACCUACACCACAGCUCAUGGCAAUGCUGGAUCCUUAACCUACUGAGCGAGGCCAGGGAUGGAACCCAUAUCCUCAUGGGGAUCGUUAACUGCUGAGCCAUGGAGGGAACUCAUGAUGCUAAUAUUUUUAUACCAAGGAAUGGACACAUAUUUAGAAUUUGUGCAUUUGAAGUAGCUAGAAAAAAUUUGAGGAGCAACUUUAUUAUUCCUAUUUAAAAUGUGUAAUUUCACUUAAUUUGGAGUGAAAAAUCUUACUAAGUGUAUAUACAGUAUUGGAACAUUUAAGAGUUUGGAUCAUCACAUUUAUAAAUACAAUUUAUUAUUUUUAAAAUGCAUGUUUAAAAAUGUAACAGACUAUAUUACAUUUACAAACAUAGUUUAAAUAUAUACUUACUCUUCUUCUUCCCUCAAUGUUCUAGCCAGGGGUGAAAUGCCCAGCCCUCUGUAGCCAGCACAGAACUAGUGAGUGAUCAAUAGGCAUUUGCUGAAUGAAAGAAUUUUCUUAGAAGAAUCAUUGCACAGUUUUCAUUACCACCUGAGUGCAGAUCCUGCCUCCACCAUACACAUAUGUCUGACUUCUCAAACCCUUGCUGGGCCUCUCUCAUUAUAGGAGUGAGAGUAGUUUGUAUUUAUUAAAUUCCUAAUGUAUGCGCCAAACACUGCUUCCAAGUGCUUUACUUGGACUAUUUAUUUGUCACAUCUCUAUGAAAGAGGUACUAUUAUUACGUCCAUUUAGCCAAGGAAGAGAUGAGUACCAUGCCCCAGGUCACAUAGGUGGUCAGUGAUUAAAUGCACUGGAAUCCAAACGUCAAUCACCUGGCUUCAGGAUCUGCACUUUACAGGAUGCCCAGAUAGAAGUUUAAAUGCAGAUUAUGUAGAUGGAGCCUUAUUAUCAGGAAGGACUUCAAGUAUCUUCUAGCCCCAGUGAUCUUUAAAUCUAGAGCAUUUGUAUUUCUAGGACAAUGCGAAAAACUUUCAAGGGGGUACUAAAGGAAGAUAUUUGAAGAGAAACUAUUUUCAGAUCCUUAGAUUUGGUAUUAUUGUUAUUUAACUUUAUCUUUUUAUGAAAUUUAAUUUGCCCAAGAAGUGGCUCAUUCUCCCACUUCACAAAAGACAUUGUCCUUGUUCACCUUAAAUCUUCUUUUGGUGUCUUGCUCUAAGGUGUAAAGCCUCCUGGGCACUAAGCCAAAGGGAAGCCUCUAUCAGCAAGGGCACCAUGGGGCCAGGCCAGCCAAUCUUUUGGGAAGCAUGUCUAUGUAAGCAUUUCUGGUUAAUUACCUUUAAAGACAAACUCUUAAGAGGCUUAUCCAUGAUCCUAAACUAGUUAAUGAUAGAGCUCACAGAGAAGCUAGGUUUUUUCAAACUAGGGAUUUAUAGGGAAAGGAUAAGUUUUGACAGAAAGGAGUGGAGAGGAACUUUCAGUCCAAAGAAUGGUACAGAGGGAGUUUAGAGGCUGAAAUGAGCAAGCUCUGGGUUAGAGACCUAUGCAUUUGCUACUCUAGCUCUGAUCGUGGGAAGGAUAAGAAAAUGGGUUAGCUGGAGGACAGUGAAGGGAUUUGGAACUUCUCCCACUGUAAGUUACUAAAUGGAAGAAUUUCAAAUGUUUUUAGCAAGUCAACUGAGUGGGAUGGAGAUCUUGAAGAAAGAUGUUCAAAGGCUGUUGCAAUAAUUUUGGGGUGAUGUAUCUUGAGUUGAUAGAAACUACAGAACUGGACAAGAAAGAGCAGAUCUGAAUGAGAGUACAGAUGAAAAACAGGACUUUGGAGUAAAUACCAGAGGAAGAGCAGAUAUGGCACCUGAGUUUUGAGGCCAGUGACUUAAGAUCAUGGUGGGGCUGUACUGACUUUGAUAGGGAUCUGCUGAAGAGGCAAGAAUAUGCAUGCAUUCAUUCAUUCAUUCAUUCAUUCAUUCACUUUUAAAUCCAUUCAACAAGUAUUUAUUGGGCAAACAAUAUGUGCUAUUCACUGUACUAGGUGGCAAAUAAAACAGAUUUUGUUUCCCAUCCUUAAGAAGUUUGAUCCAGGAAUAAAGAAAGAUAAUAAGUAAUGCAAAUAGAUGGUUGCAGCUAAGAACUAUCAAGAAAAAAUCGUGAGGAGUGACAGAAUGAUAAGGGGAGGAAUUUCGACUUAGAGUAAGUGGGGAAGGUGACAUCCUCCAUUUA
rnacentral:lncRNA from 1 species